UGGCUCGUAGCUCAGUGGCAGAGCACUACCUUGACACGGUAGGGGUCCCCAGUUCAAUCCUGGGCGGGCCAACCA
rnacentral:tRNA from 1 species